rnacentral:tRNA from 1 species
UGUGUGGGCUCAGUGGUAGAGUGCUUGCCUAGCAUGUGUGAGGCACUGGGUUCAAUCCUCAGCGCCACAUAA